rnacentral:rRNA from 1 species
UGAGCAAUCUGCCCUUCUCAUCGGAAUAAGCGUUGGAAACCGCGUCUAAUGCCGAAUACGACCUCCUUUCGCAUGAUCGGAGGUGGAAAGCUCCGGCGGAGAAGGAUGAGCUCGCGGCCUAUCAGCUAGUUGGUGUGGGUAAUGGCCCACCAAGGCGACGACGGGUAGCCGGCCUGAGAGGGUGACCGGCCACACUGGGACUGAGACACGGCCCAGACUCCUACGGGAGCAG